AGCGAGAGCAUAUUGCACGUAAAUCCACCAUUGUUUCCCGACCUCCCUUUUUCCCUUCCCGCUUAUUCGACCGCCGAGCCCGUCCAUGGUCUGGCCCACGUCGUCAUCCAAAUAUGGCCCACUGGGCCCAUUUAGCACUUAACUUAUGGGCUCUCAUGAAGGAUUACAAAGUAAUUAGCUACUACCGCCUGCACACAAUAAACUUCCUUAGUUCAGUAAGCAUUGCCACUAAGCUAGUGUCAUUCUCGUAAUUAACAACAACUUCUCGGAUUCCCAUAAUUUUCGAAUCAUGAAGCAAAGCGUUAUUUCUCGUUUCGAUGCGGGAAGAGAGAGAGAGGGAGAGGAAAAGUAAAUUAUUACGAUAUCUCUGACACGAUGUCGGAUUGGGCGCCAGUGGUGAUCGGAGUUGUUCUGUUCGUGCUUCUCUCGCCAGGGCUUCUGUUCCAGUUCCCGGGGAAUAAUCGGCAGUUUGAGUUCGGGAGUAUGAAGACUAACGGUAAAGCUGUAGUCAUUCAUACUCUCAUCUUCUUCAUCCUCUACGCCGUCUUCAUUCUCGCUCUUCAUGUCCACAUCUACUCUGGAUGAUCCGGUAACCUCUUCUUCUCGUCCUUCUUCCGCUUUCAUUCGUGAUUCUUACGAACUGAAGCUGCUGCAUUUCUAGUGGUGUUUGAGCCUUGUGUGUUGUUGUAUUUCUGUUUGAUGCGGAUCUUGUUUGAUCUGUUUGUAUUUGCGAUUUCUGUAGUCGAAGACUCGGAAGAGAUAGAAGGCAUUCUGUAUGUUUAUUUCGUUUUACUUACGCCUUUGGUUUCCAUUGCUAGUAUAGAUCUAAUUGCAUCGAACGCUGGUCUCUGUAGCUGCUCUAUCUCAUGGAGAAUCUUCUUUUUUGUCUCUCUUUGUUCUUCGAUUUAAUAAAUUCAACGCAUCUCAAGUA